GACGAACGCUGGCGGCGUGCUUAACACAUGCAAGUCGAACGGAAAGGCCCUGCUUUUGUGGGGUGCUCGAGUGGCGAACGGGUGAGUAACACGUGAGUAACCCGCCCUCGACUUUGGGAUAACUUCAGGAAACUGGGGCUAAUAACGGAUAGGAGCUCCUGCUGCACGGUGGGGGUUGGAAAGUUUCGGCGGUUGGGGAUGGACUCGCGGCUGAUCAGCUCGUUGGUGGGGUAGUGGCUUACCAAGGCUUUGACGGGUAGCCGGCCUGAGAGGGUGACCGGCCACGUUGGGACUGAGAUACGGCCCAGGCUCCUGCGGGAGGCAGCAGUGGGGAGUAUUGCACAAUGGGCGGAGGCCUGAUGCAGCAACGCCGCGUGCGGGAUGACGGCCUUUGGGUUGUAGACCGCUUUCGCCUGUGACGAAGCGUGAGUGACGGUAAUGGGUAAAGAAGCACCGGCUAACUACGUG
rnacentral:rRNA from 1 species